rnacentral:rRNA from 1 species
AUUGAACGCUGGCGGCAGGCUUAACACAUGCAAGUCGAGCGGAGAUGAGGUGCUUGCACCUUAUCUUAGCGGCGGACGGGUGAGUAAUGCUUAGGAAUCUGCCUAUUAGUGGGGGACAACAUUCCGAAAGGAAUGCUAAUACCGCAUACGUCCUACGGGAGAAAGCAGGGGAUCUUCGGACCUUGCGCUAAUAGAUGAGCCUAAGUCGGAUUAGCUAGUUGGUGGGGUAAAGGCCUACCAAGGCGACGAUCUGUAGCGGGUCUGAGAGGAUGAUCCGCCACACGGGGACUGAGACACGGCCCAGACUCCUACUGGAGGCAGCAGUGGGGAAUAUUGGACAAUGGGGGGAACCCUGAUCCAGCCAUGCCGCGUGUGUGAAGAAGGCCUUAUGGUUGUAAAGCACUUUAAGCGAGGAGGAGGCUACUGAGACUAAUACUCUUGGAUAGUGGAUGUUACUCGCAGAAUAAGCACCGGCUAACUCUGUGCCAGCCGCCGCCGUAA